CUAGCAAUGCAGUAUUCAGCCUGAUCAGGAGGCAGUUCCCGCCGUAGUUCCUCCACAGUGAUGUAGUUCUGCAGUGAGGACAAACGAUAAGGAGAGGGUUACUUAAGAAAACUGACCUCUCUCAGAGAGACAACCACCCCCUGCCCCACCAGGGCAGCAGACAAGAGUCAGGGACAGGGCCCCAACAGCUAGACUAGUACUGUACACCCACGCAGGGAGCUCUCUGCACAUACACCCUGGGGGGAAAUGCAGUUCUUCCCUGCUGUUUGGACAAGAAAAUGGUUUUUACAACAGACAGAAAGAUUGCUUUUGCAGGAGAGGUACCAGCAUACCUAUGGAAAAGACCUGGACCAUUUCUGUGGCUGCUUUUAAUAAAAUGAGAAUCUCAGAGCUGCUCAAUGGGAGCUUUCUGCUUUAAAGUAGAUUGCCCUUGCCUUUAAGCACUGCCCAGAAACCAACACCUACAUCACUGGCCAGUUUUUCAUAGUCUUCCAUGAGCUGCUCGUUUUCUUGGUUGACUGCCAGCA